rnacentral:lncRNA from 1 species
AGGUUCGCACGCAAUUUUCCCCUUGAUGCAAUAUUUUAAAUUUGAGAAAAUAUAUACCUACAAACUCAAUAAUUCUAGACGUGUCUAAAAUACAAGCAUGCGUUACAAAUAGGUACGUCAAAAAGGCUCUGUGCUAACCUUAUUGAUUGAUUAUUUUUUAUUUUGAUAUGAAAUUAUCAACAAAUUCUGUUAUUACGUCACACUACUGUGGCACACACUUGACACAUUAGAUAAAAAACUAGAACCCAACGAAUUCUCAACAGUGAAUCAGUGUUGACAGUUCGUUGCUAGAACCACAAAAAUAAAAAUUGUCAUUAUUUGACAAUAUCUUCAAAAUUUAUAAACAAGAAUUAACCGCUUAAAUAUUAUGUACAGAACAAAUAAUUCAAUUAAAUAUUUAUGAACAGUAUACCAUCAGGAUUAAUAGUUGAGAAUGUAAGGUUUUUUGGAGAACAAUUUGGACCAUCGUUAUUGGUUUUGAGAUAUCCAUUAUGGUAUAUCUUGAUACUUUUAAAAAGUACAUUAAAGGUGCUCUUCUUAGUUAUCAGUGUUAUUUUAUUCCCCAUAUAUUUUGUAUUCUUUAUGAUUAUGCUUCCUGUACGCAUUUUGUACACAAUAUUUAAAAUAAUAUGUGGUAUUGUAAUAAUAUCGGUAAUAUUCCCAUUCUUUACAUACGAACUAAUUAUUGCAUACUUUUUUCUAAGAAGAAGCAGAGGUAAUUAAAAAUAAAAACUAUGUUUGUGGUUCUA